GGCAACAAGGGAUGAGAUUUGAAGCUGAAUGUUAAGGGCCUAUAGGGCAAGAUGCUCAGACAAGGCACCUGCUGAACCCUUCGAGUUCACUGCUCUUCUUGUCCCCAAGAGCUGUGGAUGAGUGGACUAUCUAUUGUGUCAUCACUAACAAAUCCAGAUAAGCUCUGAGGUGAGAACCACCCCUAGAUGAUCAGGCAAAGCCUGACAAGAAGCCAAGAAUCAGCUCUUGAUGGGGGCUCCGUGAAUGCAUGCACCACUCUUAACCAAGGCAUUUUCACUCUGUAAUUUGCAUGGUGUAUUUCCUGUCUACCCUGCCUGAAAAUAUUUCCUUUUGGACUUAGCUACAAAGUUUAUCUUGUCACUGUGGCGAAAGACCAUACAGGCAAAGCAUCCCCUGUGGAAAUCAAAACUACCCCGGAAGCAAUAACCACCACCUGGAGGAGGAACUCCAGCGACCCAGACCACCCAGACCAGUUUGAACUUAAUGCCAACUCAGGCCUGCACAGAUAGACCACGAAGUGACUCCUGGAGUUCCCAACAGUUACCUUUAUGUCACUAUAAUACUAAGAUCUCUGCCUAAGGCACAAGCCUCAUUUACAUGACAUCCAAUGCAUUGAUUGGCAUGUUUCCUUAAGUCACAGGAGCAAUGCUACGCCUGCCUCUACAAAUGAUGAACAAGGCCUCCCUUUGUAAGUAUUUAUCCCUAACCCUAAAUAAAAGGAACCCAUUUACCUUUGUUUGGUAAAUCACAGUUGUGGCGGUUAUUUUCCAUGAUCUCCUUGUUUGCUGCAAAUAGUUUGCUUUGUGCAACAACUCUACCUGCUAUGGUUUCUAUCUGUGAUUCACCAAGGAGCAAACUCGUUUAGUUCUGUUACCAUAUUUCUUCAGUCUACACUUUUUCUGACUUUUUUUAUUUUUGAUGUGUCACAAACUAAUCAAUGUGCCAGCAGGUAUCAAGACAAAAUGACUGACCAGAAGAAAUGAUUUAAAAGCAAAAUAAUCAGUGAAAGACAAUAGAGUUAUGCAUCUUUAAAAACAGGGAGUGUAGAAUUUGUGUAUCUAUAUAUAUAUAUAUCUAUAUAUAAAUAUACACACACACGAAU